CCUUUAUAUACAUCCAUUUUAGUCCUAGCAGUCUUAAGAAAAGGUCUUCCUAGCAAAAUUGGGACAGAAUUAGAGAAGUUAUCCUCUUCCAUAUCAAGUACAUAAAAAUCAACAGGAAAAACCAACUCAUUAACUUGUACUAGGACAUCUUCUAAUACCCCAUCAGGAUAUGUAUUAGACCUAUCAGCUAGUUGAAUUAUCACGCCAGUUUCUUUUAAUGGACCAACAUUCAAAGAUG
rnacentral:lncRNA from 1 species